CGAGCUCGCCAGACAGUCGCCGCCGGUUAUGCCGGGGGAGGAAAGUCCGGGCUCCACAGGGCAAGGUGCCAGGUAACGCCUGGGCGGCGCGAGCCGACGGAAAGUGCAACAGAAAGUAUACCGCCUAAGCGCCUUCGGGCGCCGGUAAGGUUGAAAUGGUGCGGUAAGAGCGCACCGCGUGGCUGGCAACAGUCCACGGCGAUGGUAAACCCCACCUGGAGCAAGACCAAAUAGGAGUCCAAUGGCGUGGCCCGCGCUGGACUCGGGUAGGUUGCUUGAGGUCUGUGGUGACGCAGACCCUAGAUGAAUGACUGUCCAAGACAGAACCCGGCUUAUCGGCGAGCUCACUUU
rfam:Marinobacter sp. T13-3 scaffold_230, whole genome shotgun sequence.